AAUAAUCAAUAUAUUAGAGUGGAACUUUAAAAGAUAAUUCACUGUUUCUGGACGGAUCAUAUUUGUCCAUAUCCGGUAGUAUUACAGGAUGUUGUUUUUAGCCUCAGAUAGCAUAAAGCUAAUAUUGUUUUGUAUAAAUGAGUAGAGGGAGAAGGACCAGUGGAGUUGCAUACUAAACACACCGCCUCUACCUCUCACUCAUUGAUGCUGCAAUGAUACAGUUGCCUGUUUAAUAACUGAUAAACCUCCUAAGAAUUGCAUAAUAGACUAUCGUAGAUGACAGCUCCAGGACUUCGCUAACAAGAUGGCGACGGUGACGUCAUAAGAGGACCCGCCCCCGACGACGUCAGCCUAUAGAGGAGGCUCCAGCCCCCCGCUACCAACCAAUGAGAGCACGACAGCGGGGCGCGUCUGAUUUUGAAGUUGUUUAUUGUAUGGUCGGAAAGGGGUGGUUCUAUAAAACAUGUAAGGAUUGUGAAAUCGAGCUCUCUUUUGUUCCGGACCGCCAGACAGUAACUACUGAUGAGCUCCGCUCAGUCAGUGGCCUGUGGACGCGUGUCCCGGGCUAUUGAGCCACAGCUGUGAAGCUUUUGUAAAACCUACCGCUGCAUCCUUUUAUUAAACACUCCUUUUAUAACUUUUAAGGGAGUUUUGCUUUCUUUAUUUUAAACCGUCUCCUGGGCUUCAAAUAAACGAACAUUUCUUACAAUUGGUGACCCCGUCGUGAUUUGAAGUGCCAGGACGAGACGGGGAUUUCGCGGAAUCGGCAUAAACUCCAGACACUCGGAUUGGAUCCCAUUUAAAAAGAGAGGAGACUCAGGAGUCAUCUGUCUGUAAGCAGUAGAGAAGAGAGGAGAAACAUUUUACAGAACGGGAAUUAAUUAUAAGAAAGUGCUGUUAAAAGAAGUUUAGCGAUUAUUAAUAUAGAUAAAAGUGUUAACACUAGUAAUUAUGAAAAUAAAUACAGGAGUGAAUCGUAUGACUACACUUGAAUCAUUUACAUCUUAGUGAUCUGUGAAUAUGCUCUGCUGGGUUGUACAGGCUAAGUUAAAGGGAUUUUAACUUUUUGAAAAAGCAUUGGAAUGUUUUUAUUGUAGAAGAAAACAGAGACCGUACAAAGAUAAUGUGUGGGAAUAUGGUUUCUGGAUGUGAAUAUUUAAAUUAUGGGAGAAAAUAGUUUCCUAAAGGAGUUAAGUCAAAUGCAUUUGAGAGAUAUGUUAUUAUUAGACAUUAACUUGUUAUUACAGUAGAUGGCAUUUAAUACACAAGACAGAACACAUGCUUAGUUAAAAAAAGUGAAAAUUAAGUGGACUUAUUUAACCAGUGUGUUGAGAUUCAUAGAUUUAAAGAAAGCUGCCACCCGGACUGCAGCCUCUGCAAUCUGGUGACAGACCCAUGUCCUCCUGAAAUAAUGCGAAAGACCAUCCCCCACGGAGAUUUCCUGACUAAUUCAAUAAGAAAGGAAGGCAAAAGCAGGGCUUUGUCUAGAACUGCAUCCGUCUGCUUCUCCACCCAGGUCAGCAACAAACAUGCAUCAUGCUGAUUGACAGAGAUCUACUCAUCACCAGUCCCUCUGAUAAGAGCACAGAGGUCCAGAGCAACAAGGGUUGAUUCAGAGCACAGAUUCUGAUGGACAAUGAGACACAUGAAAACGGGGUUCCGUCUCCCAUGAAAGACAUCAAGAAACGGUGAUCGAGCAGACCCAUGCUGAAAUGAAAAUCCGCACAAGGAGAGAAGCUUGAUGUGGAAUGCAGGUUCAAAAAGUCAAAGACUGUCAAAAACCAGAUGCACAGGAAGGGGCGAAAAGGUCAAUCUGCAGAAUCUAAGGAGGUCGGGGUCAUCAAGCCAGAGAGCAGAGGUGGCAGGAAGGGGAUUUCGAAUGGGUGAGUUUGUGUAAACACAUUCACUCACAUAAACACAUAAGUGGAACACAUUUAAAGAAUUUGAAUUGACUUUGUAAAUUUAAGAUCAAAUAUCGAAUGUUUUAUUACAUAACAUUUUAUAGAUUGGUAAAAGAUAAUUGAAAAAGGGAAGUUUUUAAAGUAAAGGAGUAAAUAAAUCUGUAACACAUUAUUAUAGGGGGAAAUUAUAGAGAUAAGCAAGAUCCACUACACUUUUGGUAGAACCUGUUCAGAAGUCAGGAGAACAGGGUAGGAACAUUUUAAUCAUGUUAACCUAUUAAUAUUUCAGAGCCUAUAUCGAGGUGUGACUUUGGUAAAAUUAAAUUGUGGGAGUUUUGAUCUACAGAAGGAGAGAGAUUUAGUACACACUUGAUCUCAGAUAUGAUACUUAAAUGAAACAAACUUGUUAUAGUGAUAACUCCAACAUUAGAUACCAGACCAUGUCCAAUAUAAUUGACCACGUGAAUGGAAACCAUUAUUAAAGUCAUUCCUACUUUAAACAUUCUUAUGGAUUAAAGGUGUAGUUGUAACAUGUCAAAGCUCUCAUAGUUCCACACAUUACUUUCCUGAUUAAAGACUUGAAAUAUUUUUCAAGAAGACUGAAAUUGAUCAUAAAUAAUGGAGUAUAUUAAGAGAAUCGAGCAGAGUCAUACAGAUCCUAAUAAUGUUUUGAUUUAAGAUAGUGGGUAUGUGAAGAGUAUUGGAAAUAAGAUCUAUUAGAGAUUUUUGUAUGAAUUCGGUGGUGAUAAAGAUCCAGUAGUUUAAAAAAGGAAGUGAUGGCUUAACAAUUACUUAACUUAACAUGAGGGAAGCAGUUUUUGUUAAUGUAAUCUAAGUAAAGUAUAUUGAAGUAAGUUGUUGUUGUUCUUUAGAAGGUUUCACACAAGCUGCGACACUAGAUGUGUGCAAUAUCUCAACAGUUUUGACAUUAUAUAUUGUGGUAAUAAAGCUGUCGCUUUAGGAGGUCAAAAAAGCAGUGACCUACACAUCUGGCAUAUGUUCAUUUGACAGGUUAAUGUGAGUAGAUUGGAAUGUGCAUACGUCCGGGACGUCUCUACAUAACCACGGCGCUGUCCUAAUAGAAUGAUAAGACAUAUUUUAAAAACAGUAGUAAUUAAAAGGAAACUUAUAAGUGUUUUUGUAAAUGUAGAGUAUGACGGAAUAAUUAAAGACUCUGCAGAGCAUGACGUGACCAGAAGACUGAGACCGAGUGACCUUUGACCGGGACUGACUGUUGUUUUACAACAGCACUGUUGAUGACUGACUCUGGGUUGACCCUGACCAGACCCGACUGUGUGAGUGAGAAUGAAUGUUUGCAUCUGAUCAAUGCAAUUGCAUGAGUUUAGAGAGGAACAGAGACUAACUGAGCAUGUUCUGAACUAACACAAACUAAAUCCAGAGAUUUUGUUUCUUUCAGGACUGAUGGAUGGAGAGAGACACUCUUUAACGGGAGAGUUUGAUGUUUGAACAAUAAUGAUUUGAAGUGUCUGAAUAAUGAUUGAUGUGUUUUUGAAUUUUUGCUUAACUGAAGUUCUUUUUCUCAACCGGGUUUUUGUUACACCUCUUUGUUAAGAUGUGUAAAAAGGGGGAGUGGCAACAUGUUUGCUCAACAGCAUGAUUGUUUAAAUUACAAUUCCAUGAUUAACAAUUCAAUUUUUUAUAAAUGAUGUUAUUGUUUCCAUUUCUUUACAUUUUUUACAGGAAAAGCAGAAUCAGUUGCCGAGCGGCUGCUGACAGAUACAAUUCCAGAGUGGAACCUAUGAAAGAAGUUCACCUGUGAUAAUGAUAUUGAAUUUGUAAAUGUUUUUUUAACAGAUAUGUUACCUGGGGAUAGUAGAAGUAUGGAGAUAACAAGAAUAUUUAAAGUUAAGCUAAACAUAUGAUGUGAUGAAAUGGGAACCAAGUUAGUCAGCGCCCUUUCUCUAGUAGAGAUUGAGAAGUAUCAAUGGUUCAGAGGUUUUGUUUGUAAUAUGCACAGCAGAUACAGCAUAUAGGUUGUCAAUGUAAAUCUUAUAUCCCAGGCUCCUCCAACUACUCGAUAUACAUGGUCCAGGUACGAUGAAUAAAAUAGUGGAACAAAGGGUAAGGCUCAACUACAGACAGUUGGAGAUUAUGAGUAUAAGGAGGGUGAUAAACACAACAAUAAUUUCACAGAUGUAAUCUAAGUUCCUAGGAAAAAUGUGAUGACAUUUUGUUGGAAUUCUGAUUUCAUGUCCCAGCUCUCUAACUUCUAAACACUAACAGGUAGAAGCAGUUUGUCUGGUGCCUAAGGAGGGAUUUCUGCACACGAUUCAGGCAGAGAUCGACAUGGAGUUUGGCACAGGAGAAAGCUGGUACAUCCAAAGAGGUUAAGUGAUUGGCAGGAACGGGAAGCCGUGGGUAAUUGAUUCUGAUACAGAAGUAUAUUUCAUCCACACCUUUUCAGGAACAACAGCCAGGAAAUACAUUCAUUCUGGCUGCAUCAUGGUUUUACUGGGUCUUAUUCUAUCUACACAUUCAGUGUAUCCUUCUCCAGAAAUGAGAGGAGUUGACAUAUUGCAUUUUGACUUGAAAUGGGGAUUUUAAAAUGUAGGAAUAAUUUAGAUACUUAUUGGAAAUUCAAAGCUAAUUGCAAUACGUAACAUAAUUUACCGAAGGAAGUUGGGUAUUUCAUUUUGUUUGUAAUUAUGGCACAAGCCAAUAACGUUUUGAAGUCACGUUAGACCAUAAGGAAUUUCCAAUGACGGGAACAAAUGUUGCACAACAGAUAAUACCAGAUGAGCAUAACUUUCAUAAUUUACUUAUUUAGUGUUUUGAAACAGAUAAGAAACAUACAGGUUGUUUCAACGAAAUACAGGAUGGUUUGAAUGAGUGGUCGAAUUAUUUUUGAUUAUGUGACUGGUUGGGAUAAAAAUAACAGAAAGCUUGCAGUUACAAAGUUGGGUAAAAUGAAGUGUUAUCCCCCGAGAGACAUGAAAUAGGAGGAAAGGUAAAUGACAGAGUGUGUGUUUGGUACGGUGAAAGCAUGAAAUGGUAUUGGAUGAUCUAUUCAAAGCAAGGGGAGAAACAACUUCAUUUCAUUUACUAUUAGGGGUUGAGGUUCCUGGAAAAGUUCCUAUGUGCUCGGUUUUGAUAGAAAUAGCUGAGCCCCAAGCGGAGAUAGUCCCUGAAACGGCAGAUUCAAAUUCUUCCCUGAAUGCAGUCCCUCAUAUAGGAACAGCGCAGGCUUAUAUACUGGAUAAUAAUAGACUGGUGACAUAUUUGAGUACAUCGACUGUGCAGAAGGUUAUAGCGGUGGAAAUAUGGUAUGAAGGCACUAAUGCAUGGUUAAGAUUGGGUUGUGUAUGCGGUAGAACAAAGCAGGCUCUACUGAUCUUGCAUUGAUGAGGCAGUAUGGGAACGUUACGAUGGUGAAAUUCCACAACAGCAGUAACCAGCCAGGACCUUCUUUCAGGAAUUGCUGUGGCUGACGUACAAUACCCCAGGGCAGAUGUUCGGUGGUACAGUGGUACUAAAAUUUUGUGUCCAGGCAUUCCACAUGACUGGCCUGGAACAUUUGCACUGGUGUAGUUGGUGAGAGGGAGUUUAAAGCUAGAAACCAGAUAACUGCAGGAUUCGAAUUAAUAUUUCUUUGGCCUACAAUCAACAAGAAUGUAGGUUGGAUCAACUAUAUUUACUACAACCAGCAGAGAUUCAUAAAUUACACCCAUGAUGCAGUAAGGGAACUGCACGUACAGUUGGAUGGAACCAGUCUGAUGGCCUGGCAAAUAGGGUGGCCUUAGAUAUGUUUUUGUCUAAUAAAGGGGGUGUUUGCAGACUAAUUGGAAUCUUGUGCUGUGUUUUCAUCCCAAAUAACCCUUCCCCAGAUGGAUCAGUAACCAGAGCGUUAGAAGGACUUACCGCCCUGAUCAUCGAGCUAGCAGACUAUAGUGGAGUAGAGGACCCCUUUGUAGGAACGUUAGAAAGAAUGUUCAGUAAAUAUUAGACUCCGAUAAUGAAUCAAUGUUAUUCAAUGCAGGAAUGGAUACAAUCUUGGUACUAUGUGGAUGUUGUUACAUACUAUGUAUUCGCACUUUAGCGGACCAAUUGAUCACCACGGUCCUCUCUAGUGAGCAAAAAUAAAGGUCAAUUCCUCUUGAGAAAACAGUUACAUUUGUUAAUAGAAAAGCAGGAUGAUCCUAUCCCUUAUUCAGACCAUGAGCAAGAUGAGUUCAUCUGAAGGAAGUGUCUUAUAAGUUCUUAUUACUGUAUACAUGAAAUGCUCUAUAAACUACUCCUAGGAUGUGAUUAAUCACUUAUUACAACUUGGUAUUAUAUAGUAGAGUUGAUUGUUGUUAUGAUUUACACACAGUUCAUUUAUUUUUUUUAUAUAUAGGAUCAUAUUGAAUAAGUGCAUUUACACUGGACUAGAAUCGAAAAUGAUCUGUUUACCUCAUCACAAGAUAUGAAAGGAGGGAAUUGAAGAGUUUAUGCAUUUAGGAAAUUGCUGCUAUUGUUCUAGGUGCCAUUCCAGGAUUUCAGCCACAAGUAUUCAAUAAUAAAAGAUUGUAUGAUCAUGUAUAACUUUUAACUAUACAAUUCUGUAUUAUGCAAUAUUCAAAUGGAGAACAUAUUGAUUAUAUUAUAGUUUACACACCGUUUGAAAGGUGUGUAAGGAGGGAUUGUUAGAAAUAAUCAAUAUAUUAGAGUGGAACUUUAAAAGAUAAUUCACUGUUUCUGGACGGAUCAUAUUUGUCCAUAUCCGGUAGUAUUACAGGAUGUUGUUUUUAGCCUCAGAUAGCAUAAAGCUAAUAUUGUUUUGUAUAAAUGAGUAGAGGGAGAAGGACCAGUGGAGUUGCAUACUAAACACACCGCCUCUACCUCUCACUCAUUGAUGCUGCAAUGAUACAGUUGCCUGUUUAAUAACUGAUAAACCUCCUAAGAAUUGCAUAAUAGACUAUCGUAGAUGACAGCUCCAGGACUUCGCUAACAAGAUGGCGACGGUGACGUCAUAAGAGGACCCGCCCCCGACGACGUCAGCCUAUAGAGGAGGCUCCAGCCCCCCGCUACCAACCAAUGAGAGCACGACAGCGGGGCGCGUCUGAUUUUGAAGUUGUUUAUUGUAUGGUCGGAAAGGGGUGGUUCUAUAAAACAUGUAAGGAUUGUGAAAUCGAGCUCUCUUUUGUUCCGGACCGCCAGACAGUAACUACUGAUGAGCUCCGCUCAGUCAGUGGCCUGUGGACGCGUGUCCCGGGCUAUUGAGCCACAGCUGUGAAGCUUUUGUAAAACCUACCGCUGCAUCCUUUUAUUAAACACUCCUUUUAUAACUUUUAA